CAGCAGUGGGGAUAUUGCACAAUGGGGGAAACCCUGAUGCAGCCAUGCCGCGUGUAUGAAGAAGGCCUUCGGGUUGUAAAGUACUUUCAGUUGUGAGGAAGGCGUUGAAGUUAAUAGCUUCAGCGUUUGACGUUAGCAACAGAAGAAGCACCGGCUAACUCCGUGCCAGCAGCCGCGGUAAUACGGAGGGUGCGAGCGUUAAUCGGAAUUACUGGGCGUAAAGCGCAUGCAGGCGGUCUGUUAAGCAAGAUGUGAAAGCCCGGGGCUCAACCUCGGAACAGCAUUUUGAACUGGCAGACUAGAGUCUUGUAGAGGGGGGUAGAAUUUCAGGUGUAGCGGUGAAAUGCGUAGAGAUCUGAAGGAAUACCGGUGGCGAAGGCGGCCCCCUGGACAAAGACUGACGCUCAGAUGCGAAAGCGUGGGGAGCAAACAGGAUUAGAUACCCUGGUAGUCCACGCCGUAAACGAUGUCUACUUGAAGGUUGUGGCCUUGAGCCGUGGCUUUCGGAGCUAACGCGUUAAGUAGACCGCCUGGGGAGUACGGUCGCAAGAUUAAAACUCAAAUGAAUUGACGGGGCCCGC
rnacentral:rRNA from 1 species